GGCGCCCGCCUCGCGGGGCCGCGCGGCGCGGAGUUCCCAGAGGGGCAUCGGCGGCGGCGGCGGCGUGGGGAGCUGAGGGGCGGAGCUGAUGGCCGCGCGGGCGGCGCGCUUCCCGGGCGCACGCGCCACGCUCUCUGCGUCGCCCUGCGCCCUUCUCCCGGCGCGGGGCCCUCGGGCUGCCCGCUUUCAGUCCUCCUACGCGCUGGCCAUUUUCUGAUUUCCUUUUCAUGGGGACUGCACGUCGUGUGUGCCGGCUUCGCGCAGCCCGGCGCCCCGCCGGCGAGGGCCGGGUGCGGGCGCGUCACCUGGCGUGGGGAGAAGGGAGGCUGCGUUCGCGGCCCUGGCCUGAGUGACACUGAUGAUAAAAAUCCCUUCAAGAAUUUAGAUGUGACAUCUGCAGCAGGUUCAGAUCUCUCAGCUGUAAGACAAACUGGAUACUUCAUAAAGAUUUUCAUCUGUUAUGCACAGAGAGCAAAAUCCGUUAACUGAAAUUGUCUUGUUGAGCUGCUUGCUGGGUCCAGUGAUGCACUAGUAGACAAAGAAGUUGAAAAAGAAAGCUGGCAUAUUCUCUGGAUGACUGGCAGAGUGUGACACCAGUAUGGCAUCAAGCCCUACUAUGAUUCCAAGGACUGUAUGACUAAAUAAAAAUGAAUUUUUUUUGUGGGGUUGGGGUGGUUAAAGUAAAUUUGAUCUGUUUGGGAAAUGUGUAAUGUAUUAUCAUUCCAUAAUGAUAUAUGGUAAUUGCUUUGGUAAUCAUGCUUUAAAGAUCCUGUCUAUUUAUGGAACUUACAUAGUUAUCAACCCUUAGUGCUGGGUUCCCAUACUAUGAGGGAAAUACAGUAAAGAAAAACAUGUGCUUAAUCAAAAAAAAAUUAACCUAAGAAUGUUAAUCUAAGGAGUUUGAUUUUCUCAUGGAAAUUUUUGCUUGGGGAUAUUCUUGAAAUUUGUUCUCCCUGGGUAUUUAAAAUAAAUUUGUUUGCAAAAAGCUACCCUGCCCAGAAUUUUCUAGGAAAACAUCCUUUCAUGUAGGCUCUUAAGCUCAGUAGUAAACAGAAAAUCAUACUAUACAGUAUUAUGGAGAAUUAAAGCGCAGUUGAAUUAAAAAAAUAAUAUCUUCAGACCUAGUAACAUGGUAGCAUGUUAUUCACUUAAUUAGAUUAAAUUCACUUUAUUUAGUGAGCAGGUGUAACUGUAAAUGAACUUAUGUAUUUUCUGGAACUGUUGAAUCAUAAGAAAACUAGAAUAUCAAAAUACUCUCUGAACCAAAGCAAUGUAUUAUUUGGUUAGAGUUCCUGCUUUUGGUACAAGUCUAUACCAGUUUUAGAGGACUUAAGUGCAGUUCUGGAAAAUGAGGUGGUUGGCUUCUCUCAAAGCUGAAUCCCAUUUUUUUUUUCUCUUUGAAUCUUCAUCAUGUUUUUCAUCUUAGUAUUCAACAAAACUGGCAUUCCAGAAUAUACAACGGAUCACAUUUUAUGUAGUUCAUACAGCUCAUCUACAAACAGAAAAAGAUUCCCUCAUGACUUACCUUGAAAUUCUUAUUCAAGGCAUAUAGUGCUCACUCUCUCGGUAUACCACUGCCAGUUCUGCAUGUUUUUGGUCAGAGUAUAGUGCAACUAACAUAACCAUCCUGCUAGGAAAAUCAUCUGUGUGGGUUGCUGAAUAGUAGAAGUCACAUCAAAUUUACAAGUCAGAUUAGAGAUCAGAGUCAUAUGAUAUCUUAUCUGAAAUUGAUUUGAUUUCAUGGUUUUUAUUUUUUUCCUUGAAGCAGUGCCUAUAACUGAAAGACAGGUGUAUUGUAGCAUUUGAAUACCUUAAACUUUGAAUCUGGAGUGAAAGGAAUGUUCUUACAGAUGUUUAGAUUCUAGAAUUUAGGGAUUUUGAAAUAAAAUUCUGUAUUCAUUUAUUUUGCCAUAAUU